GCUGGAGAGUUUGCUGCUUCCCCAGGGACUCUUUCUGAGGUUACUCCCGAGCACCCAAAGUCCUUCCAUCUCUGGCCUUACAAACAGGCAGGCAGAGGAGAUUUUCAUUCAUCCCCUAGUCCCCUGCAUGCAGGCUUGGGGCUGUUUGUUCCAGAGUCUCCAUCUGCUGUGCUGAUCAACUGCUUGGACAUACUCAAGCAGCACAGAGUCAAGGAUACAGGGCUGGGGGCAGCCAAGAGGAAAGGCAGAGAAGGUAGAGGAAGGAAGUGAAAGGAAAGAGAACUCAUAAUCUUGGAAUUCUAGAAAAAGGCAAAUGUUUGCAGCUGGAGAGAGCUGUGUGGCCAUCUUGAGGUUGCAUUCACAUCUGGUGCAUUUGUCCCCCCUCCAUGAAAUCCUUCUUGAGGUCGAGCUGACCAUCCCCCCACCUUGUCAUCCUUUUCCCUGGCUCAGAACUCCAAAGUCCUGAGAGAGUGUUGCAGACUUUAUGAGAAAUCCAUUUGCUUUAGCCUGAAACAUUGUCAAACUUGAAUUUGCAGAUGGGACACCAGCCUGGGAAUUUCUCCUCGGUGGUACUAAGCCUUGUGAUGUUGGCAUCAGAGAAGGAAGAGUGGGGCUGAGCACCUUAUUUAUAAGAAUGUGUUCCCCAUGUUUUCUGGGGUCCGUGUUGAUGUGCCCCGUCCAUUCUCAUUCUCAUCAUAAUCCCACCUCAGUGGUGUUUUUGGAACUUGGCGGGGGUCGGGGGGGUGUAGGCAGGCAGAGCUUGAUGUCCAAGGACUUCCUUGCUAUGAAUGAACACUGGGCUGCUUGUGGUGCCAGCAGAGACAGGACCACUUGGAAUGAAGAUGAAAGAGAGAUGAAAGCAUGGAUUUUAUCCUAAUUGUUAGGUUUAGCUGAAGGGGGUUGAGGAGGGAGGGUAUGAUACAAAACCAAGGAAAACAGUCAUUUUAUUUUGGCAUUAAGUGAAAAAAAAAUACGUCUAUGUAUUGUGUUUAUGCUAUGCUUAAAACUGAUUAAAACUGAUUUUUCCAUAUGCAUUUUAGGUUAGGGAAUAGCCAUGCCAACUGCUUUUCCUUUCUCUAAUCUCGGUGGCUAUCUUCAUCUCCAGAUGUUUCCCUCUGUGUGGUCUUAAUUCUCAAAUGUUCAUAGCUGGGUUGUCUCUGCUUUGUUUGCUGAAGUGGGGUGCUCUCAAGGCUGGGUCCCACAAAGCUGCUCCACAGGAUGGAAGGUUCUUCCUCCUGAUAAUAUCUCGUGGUUUCUGGGGAAUUUUCUCUACUGAGGCCCACUGGAUUUUUUAAGUCUCUUCAGAGUAAUUGGUCUGAGAAGUUCAUCAAAGUGAGUCCCUUUCAUAAUUUUAAGGGAAAUGCCUAGAGGUGGAGGACAAGCUUGGUACAUAGUUAUGCUUCUUGGAUCUUGAGCUAGCACCUGACUUGUCAAGACCAGGCCCCUGCCUGGGGACACUGGCUCUGAGCUGCCCUCUGUUCUGGAGUGACCCCUCUUCCUCUCCUCCUCUCUCAGGGAGUGAUCUUGGGGCAUCUGGGCCUAGAACAUCAUGGCCCCAAAAGCCUGAGCCAAGGCUCCCAGCUUAAGGGACUCUCCCUAGUUUGCUAAUCUUUGUUGGAAGAGUAGUGCAGCCCGAGGGGGAAGGGUCAUUCAGAUCCAUUGCUGAAAUUUGCUUUCUCCACUUGUUCUUUAAAUUAUCUAAGCCCCCAAUGUCCUCAUCUGUAAAAUAGGUAUAACACUUCUCUCAUGAGGUUAUUUUGUGAACAGAGACUCAGCUUUCAGUAACAUCAGUGUGUGCUGACUGUGUGCAAAGCAUAGGGACAUAGUGAAGAAUCCGUCAGAGAAGGCUUCCUACCCUUGUGGAGGUGAUAGCCGAAUUGGGU
rnacentral:lncRNA from 1 species